rnacentral:rRNA from 1 species
AUAGAUCCUGAAACCGUAUGCUUACAAAAAGUAGGAGCCCGCAAGGGUGACUGCGUACCUUUUGUAUAAUGGGUCAGCGACUUACAUUCAGUGGCAAGGUUAACCGAAUAGGGAAGCCGUAGAGAAAUCGAGUCCGAAUAGGGCGAAUUAGUCGCUGGGUGUAGACCCGAAACCAAGUGAUCUAUCCAUGGGCAGGAUGAAGGUGCCGUAACAGGUACUGGAGGUCCGAACCGACUAAUGUUGCAAAAUUAGCGGAUGACCUGUGGAUAGGGGUGAAAGGCUAAACAAACUUGGAAAUAGCUGGUUCUCUCCGAAAACUAUUUAGGUAGUGCCUCAAGUAUUACCUGCGGGGGUAGAGCACUGUUUUGGCUAGGGGGUCAUGGCGACUUACCAAACCAAGGCAAACUCCGAAUACCGCAGAGUACAGCUUGGGAGACAGAGCACCGGGUGCUAACGUCCGGACUCAAGAGGGAAACAACCCAGACCGCCAGCUAAGGUCCCUAAAAUUGGCUAAGUGGGAAACGAAGUGGGAAGGCUAAAACAGUCAGGAUGUUGGCUUAGAAGCAGCCAUCAUUUAAAGAAAGCGUAAUAGCUCACUGAUCGAGUCGUCCUGCGCGGAAGAUGUAACGGGGCUAAGCCAGUUACCGAAGCUGCGGAUUUGCAAUUUAUUGCAAGUGGUAGGAGAGCGUUCUGUAAGCCUGUGAAGGUGCGUUGUAAAGCGUGCUGGAGGUAUCAGAAGUGCGAAUGCUGACAUGAGUAGCGUUAAAGGGGGUGAAAAGCCCCCUCGCCGUAAGCGCAAGGUUUUCUACGCAACGUUCAUCGGCGUAGAGUGAGUCGGCCCCUAAGGCGAGGCAGAGAUGCGUAGUUGAUGGGAAACAGGUCAAUAUUCCUGUACCGAUGUGUAGUGCGAUGUGGGGACGGAGAAGGUUAGCUCAGCAGACUGUUGGAUAUGUCUGUUCAAGCCUGUAGUCGUGCCUGGUAGGUAAAUCCGCCGGGCUUAGAUGAGGGGUGAUAACGAGGAAGCUUGCUUCCGAAGUGAGUGAUACCCUGCUUCCAGGAAAAGCCACUAAGCUUCAGCUACACACGACCGUACCGCAAACCGACACUGGUGCGCGAGAUGAGUAUUCUAAGGCGCUUGAGAGAACUCAGGAGAAGGAACUCGGCAAAUUGACACCGUAACUUCGGAAGAAGGUGUGCCUUUAGUAUGUGAACCUGUACAAGGGGAGCAGAAUGAGGCCUCAGAGAAUCGGUGGCUGCGACUGUUUAAUAAAAACACAGCACUCUGCAAACACGAAAGUGGACGUAUAGGGUGUGACGCCUGCCCGGUGCUGGAAGAUUAAAUGAUGGGGUGCAAGCUCUUGAUUGAAGUCCCAGUAAACGGCGGCCGUAACUAUAACGGUCCUAAGGUAGCGAAAUUCCUUGUCGGGUAAGUUCCGACCUGCACGAAUGGCGUAACGAUGGCCACACUGUCUCCUCCUGAGACUCAGCGAAGUUGAAAUGUUUGUGAUGAUGCAAUCUCCCCGCGGAAAGACGGAAAGACCCCAUGAACCUUUACUGUAGCUUUGUAUUGGACUUUGAACAGAUCUGUGUAGGAUAGGUGGGAGGCUUUGAAGCGUGGUCGCUAGACUGCGUGGAGCCAACGUUGAAAUACCACCCUGGUGUGUUUGAGGUUCUAACCUAGGUCCCUUAUCGGGAUCGGGGACAGUGCAUGGUAGGCAGUUUGACUGGGGCGGUCUCCUCCCAAAGCGUAACGGAGGAGUUCGAAGGUACGCUAGGUACGGUCGGACAUCGUGCUAAUAGUGCAAUGGCAUAAGCGUGCUUAACUGCGAGACUGACAAGUCGAGCAGAUACGAAAGUAGGACAUAGUGAUCCGGUGGUUCUGUAUGGAAGGGCCAUCGCUCAACGGAUAAAAGGUACUCUGGGGAUAACAGGCUGAUACCGCCCAAGAGUUCAUAUCGACGGCGGUGUUUGGCACCUCGAUGUCGGCUCAUCUCAUCCUGGGGCUGUAGCCGGUCCCAAGGGUAUGGCUGUUCGCCAUUUAAAGAGGUACGUGAGCUGGGUUUAAAACGUCGUGAGACAGUUUGGUCC